GUGGAGAAGCUGAAGAAGCCAUGGUUCCUCCCUCAGUAGAACACAGCAAUACGAUUUUGGUGCAUGUAUUUCCGGGUGCAAUGCAGUUUGACAGCAUACCCGAGUAUGGAGCCAAAGAGACACUUGAGCUAUGAAACAUGAUGGCAUGGCACCGAAGACAAGAUCUGUACGUUCUCUGCACUUGUUCUAUUUUCAAUCCAUCCUUCGCUCUCGGUGACUUCAUAACUGGACUGGACAGACUUCCUACUUUCAAAUUGAUCUUCUAUACGGCAAACGUUGGCAAGGUUCCCUUGGAAAUAUUUCCUGGAACCCAAGCAUAGUAGCCCACACCUGCUAAGAAUUCUACUCUGUCUGUCUUAGGCAACCUCUAAAGGAUCAUUCCACCACCACAGAGGUCACAACCCACUGUGACCUGACCCUUGACCUUGAGUCUUCUGUGUGACUCAAGGUUGAGGACCCCUGACCUUGAGUCUUCUCUGUGACUUCAGAAACUCAUGCAAAUUGUUUAUGCCUUCAUUUUCCUGGAGUUAAAACCAAGAGAUUUUGAUCUUUCUGAAAAUAGUGUAUCAACUUCAUUCUGAUGCUAUCAAAUUCAUCAGAUUUCCCCAAACCACUGACAAUUACAACCAGUUAUGUUUUUUCCCCCCUUUUCCAGUUAAUAAACAGAAUAAUAUGGCAUUUGAGAAAAUCAGCAUGCUGGCCAUGUUACCAAUCUCCAAGAGUCACUUAAACUUCAGAUGCCUUUUUUUCUUACAUAUAAAAUAAGUUGAAAGUUUUGGAUGGUUGGAAGAUAUGCAUUAUAACAUGUCAGUCUAGACAACUGGUUUCCGGCGUCCUAAAAUGGAGCUAUUUAUAAAUUUUUAAAAAUAAGUAUUAUAGCCAGGAUUCACAUCGAGCACUUAGCUACUGACUCCAUGUUCAUGGGCAAUACUGGGAGACAGAUGGCUAAGAAGGACUUUUCAAGUCUAGUGCAGACUUGGGAAACUGCCUUAAACAUCAUCCUCACCCCAGCACGACAAGUUUACAGAUGGGGAAAAGCAGACUGGACAGUGCUCGGCCAAUGUGAACACAGAGCGAUGUUUCUCGCAAGCGUCACAGGGUUGAUAGGAUGUUCUUAUUUUCCUUACGUUCCUCUCUAGCUACUCUAGCAAGAGGUUUCCUUAAGUUCUCAGCUGUUUGGCUGGGUAAGUGUUUGGCCCAUUGCUCAUUCUGUUUGAUACGUACUUGAGAUUUUCUUGUUGGCAGUCACAAUGGCUUGUAUGACAACUGCUAGCCAGAGAGAAAGUUCUUGGAGGAGGCUACUCAGUAACCAUUUAGGAGGGAAAUGGAGUUACCAUUCCACACCAGUUUGUGUGUGUGUGUGUGUGUGUGUGUGUGUGUUCUAAAUCCCACUGUUUCUAUCUCUUCUCGUGUCUGCCACACACCUUCUGAUGUGUUGCUUCUUCAGUUUACAAACCUCACAACAAUAAAUAAUCAAUAAAGAUUCAAAAAGUGAAAAAAA